rnacentral:rRNA from 1 species
UGGGGAAUAUUGGACAAUGGGCGAAAGCCUGAUCCAGCCAUGCCGCGUGUGUGAAGAAGGCCUUAUGGUUGUAAAGCACUUUAAGUGGGGAGGAAAAGCUUAUGGAUAAUACCCAUAGGUUCUGACGUUACCCACAGAAUAAGCACCGGCUAACUCUGUGCCAGCAGCCGCGGUAAUACAGAGGGUGCGAGCGUUAAUCGGAAUUACUGGGCGUAAAGCGAGCGUAGGUGGUUUAUUAAGUCAGAUGUGAAAUCCCUGGGCUUAACCUAGGAACUGCAUCUGAUACUGAUAAACUAGAGUAGGUGAGAGGAAAGUAGAAUUCCAGGUGUAGCGGUGAAAUGCGUAGAUAUCCGGAGGAAUACCGAUGGCGAAGGCAGCUUUCUGGCAUCAUACUGACACUGAGGUUCGAAAGCGUGGGUAGCAAACAGGAUUAGAUACCCUGGUAGUCCACGCCGUAAACGAUGUCUACCAGUCGUUGGGUCUUUUAAAGACUUAGUGACGCAGUUAACGCAAUAAGUAGACCGCCUGGGGAGUACGGCCGCAAGGUUA